GACCCCAUCUCCUCCUCCAGGAGGGCCCUGACCGCCCCCCCCCCCAACAGGCCCGGACGCGACGCUCACCAUGACUGCGGCCGGCCGGGGGCGGGUCCCCCCGGCCCCCUUCCUGCGCUCUCCGGCCGCUGGCUGGGGCGGGGGGCCCAAUUGCCGCCGCUGCGGCCCUGGGGAGGCCCCAGCGGCCCGGCUCCGCGCCCCACUGCCUCCGACGACCGCCACACACCGCCUGAGCAGGUAAACCCGCCCCGGGCGCCCGACCGCACUAAGCCGGCCGCGCGCACACCGCCGCCCUUUUAUAUCCGCCCACAGGCCUCGCCCCCUCGGGGCCCCUCGCGCCGCGCCUCGACUCGUGACGUCAGUGCGCACACUCCUUGGCGUUCGACGAGCUCGCUCCCUUUCGACAAACUGCGGGCAAGAGCAGGAGAAACUGGGGAGGGGGCGCGGGGCAGGCUGGCCAAUACGUGCGCACGGGGGUCAGGGAGGAAAUCCAGGAGAAAGGAGAGGUAGAAAAGGGGAAGUAGAGAAGAGAACGGGAAGGGUGACGCGACCGCUGAUUGGUCCGUUUGAAUGAAACGCCGGCGUACGCGCUCGCGCCCUGACGCCCAGGAAAUCGCGCACGCGACUAACGGUCGACCCGGGAGCCCGAGCCGAGCAAAGAGAGGCGGGACUUGAGGGGUUUUAAAAGGAUGAUGGAAGGCGGUCCGGCCAAUGGGGACGCGCAAUCGUGGCGUGGCGUCAUGAGACACGCGGAGGCCAAUCCCUACUGGAGAAGGCGUACUGGGGCCUUCUCCAGUAGGGAACGGGAGAAUUGGAGAGCAACCAAUGGGAGUCCUCCCUACCGCGGACCCAGGCGCUCGCAGCCAAUUAACUUCGUUCGUUUCUGUGUAUGCAGAUGAGUGUGCCCGGACGCCUGCGCCCCUUCCUCAGCCUGUGGCGGGGGUGGGCACCGCGAAUUGAUAGACGUAUUUCUGCGAGGCGCCAUUUUGUGCUGGCAAUGACCUAUGACCCGUGUCCUGUGUUGGCAGAGGUUCCACGACCGGCCCCACCCCCACCCCCAUGUGUGACCUCUGGCCCCGGCCAGGCCUCGGUUGCGACGCCGGGCGUCAGUUUACUCCUGUGAGAAGAGGAAGAGUCCCCUGGCCUUGUUC
rnacentral:lncRNA from 1 species